ACAGCAGCCGCCGCGGGAAUACAGAGGGUGCAAGCGUUAAUCGGAAUUACUGGGCGUAAAGCGCGCGUAGGUGGUUUGUUAAGUUGGAUGUGAAAGCCCCGGGCUCAACCUGGGAACUGCAUCCAAAACUGGCAAGCUAGAGUACGGUAGAGGGUGGUGGAAUUUCCUGUGUAGCGGUGAAAUGCGUAGAUAUAGAAAGGAACACCAGUGGCGAAGGCGACCACCUGGACUGAUACUGACACUGAGGUGCGAAAGCGUGGGGAGCAAACAGGAUUAGAUACCCGCGUAGUCCCUGUCUCUUAUAA
rnacentral:rRNA from 1 species